rnacentral:lncRNA from 1 species
AAGUUUAGAGGCUAGGCUCAAGUGAUAGCUAGGGUUAACCUAAUUGGGAUGUGGAAGCAUGUGAUUAAUUUUGCUUGCAAUAGAAGAGAAGAUAAUUUGUAGUGCCUAAACACCAAGAGGCCCAUCCAAUGUUCUUUGACCUUAAAGGGAAUUUGAGUUAUCUAAUUAAAGAAAUAAUGAUGAAAAUAUUUCUUUAGGAUUUUGCAUUUUUUAUCGAUGCAAGGAAAAGAAAAUCUUAGCUAUUAUAACUAGUUAGAGUUUCACCCAACAAUCACUCAAUCCAACAACAGUCAAACAGUUCUUUGUUGGGUUUUCUCAUGCCCCAUUAAUGUUGCUGUGGCUUCAACAAGGGGCUCUGCUAGAGCUGCAUUGGAAGAAGCGCCAUGGAGUUGCAUCAAGGUUGCUAUGGAGUUACACCGGAGCAAAAGUAGAGUCACAUCAAAGAAGAACCUUCAAUAUUCUGUAUUUUGCAUAUAGUAUCAAAAGAGUGGAUUACUUGGAGUAUUUAUAGUAUUCUAGGGCCUCUUACAUUGACGAGGACAUGGUUGCCUCUAGAAAACC